rnacentral:rRNA from 1 species
AUUGAACGCUGGCGGCAGGCCUAACACAUGCAAGUCGAGCGAUAGAGAGAAGCUUGCUUCUCUUGAGAGCGGCGGACGGAUGAGUAAUACCUACGAGUCUGCCUGAUCCUGGGGAAUAACAUUCGGAAACGGACGCUAAUACCGCAUACGUCCUACUGUAUAAAGCAAGGAACCUUCAGGGCUUGAGCUAUCCGAUGACCCUAGGUCGGAUUACCUAGUUGGUGAGGUAAUGGCUCAGCAAGGCUACCAUCCGUAACUGGUCUGACAGGAUGAUCAUGCACACUGGAACUGACACACUGUCCAUACUCCUACGGCAGGAAUCAUAGGGGAAUAUUGGACAAUGAAUCAUAGCCUGAUCCAGCCAUGCCGCGUGAGUGACGCAAGGUCUUCUGAUUGUAGAGCACUUUACGUUGGGAUCGAGGGACAGUAAAUUAAUACUUUGCUGUUUUGACGUUACCGACGGAAUAAGCUCCGGCUAACUCUGUGCCAGCAGCCGCGGUAAUACAGAGGGUGCAAGCGUUAAUCGGAAUUACUGGGCGUAAAGCUCGCGUAGGUGGUUUGUUAAGUUGAAUGUGAGAUCCCCGGGCUCAACCUGCCAACUGCAUCCGAAACUGGCAAGACUGAGUAUCGUAGAGGGUAGUGGAAUUUCCUGUGUAGCGGUGAAAUGCGUAGAUAUAUGAAGGAACACCAGUGGCGAAGGCGACUACCUGGACUGAUACUGACACUGAGGUGCGAAAGCGUGGGGAGCAAACAGGAUUAGAUACCCUGGUAGUCCACGCCGUAAACGAUGUCAACUAACCGUUGGGAGUCUUGCACUCUUAGUGGCGCAACUAACGCACUAAGUUGACCCCCCGGGGAAUACCGACCCCAGGGUAAAACUCCAAUGAAUUGGCGGGGGACCCCCCCAACCGGGGAGCACGUGGUUUAAUUUGAAGCAACGCGAAGAGCCCUUUCAGACCUCGACAUACAAUGAACUCUCUAGAGAUAGAUAGGUGCCCUCUGGAACACUGAGACACAUGUGGCACGGCUGUCUUCACAUCGUGUCGUGAGAUAUUGGGGUAAGUCCCGUAACGAGCGCACCCCUUGUCCUUAGUUACCAGCACGUAAUGGUGGGCACUCUAAGGAGACUGCCGGUGACAAACCGGAGGAAGGCGGGGAUGACGUCAAGUCAUCAUGGCCCUUACGGCCUGGGCUACACACGUGCUACAAUGGUCGGUACAAAGGGCAGCCAACCCGCGAGGUGGAGCUAAUCCCAUAAAACCGAUCGUAGUCCGGAUCGCAGUCUGCAACUCGCCUGCGUGAAGUCGGAAUCGCUAGUAAUCGUGAAUCAGCAUGUCACGGUGAAUACGUUCCCGGGCCU